UAAGGAAUAUUGGACAAUGGACGCAAGUCUGAUCCAGCCAUGCCGCGUGAAGGAUGAAUGCCCUCUGGGUUGUAAACUUCUUUUAUAGGGGAAGAAAGAUACUUUUUUUAAGGUAGUUGACGGUACCCUAUGAAUAAGCACCGGCUAACUCCGUGCCAGCAGCCGCGGUAAUACGGAGGGUGCAAGCGUUAUCCGGAUUUACUGGGUUUAAAGGGUGCGUAGGCGGGCAUGUAAGUCAGUGGUGAAAUACCGGAGCUUAACUUCGGAACUGCCAUUGAUACUAUAUGUCUUGAAUAUUGUGGAGGUAAGCGGAAUAUGUCAUGUAGCGGUGAAAUGCAUAGAUAUGACAUAGAACACCGAUUGCGGGGGCAGCUUGCUACGCAAAUAUUGACGCUGAGGCACGAAAGCGUGGGGAUCAAACA
rnacentral:rRNA from 1 species